AACGAACGCUGGCGGCAGGCUUAACACAUGCAAGUCGAGCGCCCCGCCAGGGGGACGGCGGCCUGGUGAGUAACGCGUGGGGACGUACCUUUUGGUUCGGAACAACUCCGUGAAACUGGAGCUAAUACCGGAUAAGCCCUAACCUGGUAAGAUUUAUCGCCGAAAGAUCGGCCCGCGUCUGAUUAGAUAGUUGGUGAGGUAACGGCUCACCAAUGCGACUAUCAGUAGCUGGUAUGAGAGGAUGAUCAGCCACACUGGGACUGAGACACAGCCCAGACUCCUACGGGAGGGAGCAGAGGGGAAUACUGGCAAAUGGGGGCAGGCCUGAUCCAGCCAGGCCGCGUGAGUGAUGAAGGCCGUAGGGUUGUAAAGCUCUUUUGUCCGGGAAGAUAAUGACUGUACCGGAAGAAUAAGCCCCGGCUAACUUCGUG
rnacentral:rRNA from 1 species